rnacentral:tRNA from 1 species
AGUACAGUCAGCUAAUUAAGCUCUCGGGCUCAUGUCCCGCUCAUGUUGGUUAAAUUCCUCCCUAUACUG